rnacentral:rRNA from 1 species
UACGGAGGGUGCAAGCGUUGUUCGGAAUCACUGGGCGUAAAGCGCGUGUAGGCGGCUUACUAAGUCAGGGGUGAAAUCCUGGAGCUCAACUCCAGAACUGCCUUUGAUACUGGUGAGCUUGAGUCCGGAAGAGGUGAGUGGAACUGCGAGUGUAGAGGUGAAAUUCGUAGAUAUUCGCAAGAACACCAGUGGCGAAGGCGGCUCACUGGUCCGGUACUGACGCUGAGGUGCGAAAGCGUGGGGAGCAAACAGG